GAGACUUGAUGGAGUUUUUUCAUGGGUUUUCAUGGAGUUGAUCUUAUUACAUCCACCAUUAUGCUGCAUUCUGUAGGGAACACAAAAUGAUUCCUCUCCUCAAUAAACCAGUCACCUAGUUGAAGAUAAAGGGUGUUCAGAAAAGAUUGUCCCAAAACAAUUAGGGGCUAGAUUCUGUGAUCCAUGUGAGAUGCCAAUGAUGUGAUUCUGGAAAGCAGAAGGUGAGGUUGUGAGAGGACCUGCAGCACACAAUGCCCAAGGCUAGGGUGGCGAGUAGAGGGCCCCUGGUCUGGAUCCGUCUACCCAGCUUCAUUCCUCCCAUUCUUGAAACAGUGGCUGCACCAGCCAGGAAGCAUCUGAGACCACCUGAUUCUCUGGAAUAAUAGCUGCUGAGGUUUGUGCUGUGAGCUAAAACACUGUGAGUGUCUAACUGUAACCAUUUAGAUUAGCACUAAUGAAAAUAAUUUUUAAGAUGGUGAAAAUGUCUAUAUUUAUGCUUUGCAAGUGUAGCCGUUAUAUGUCAUAUGUGACUCCUGAGCACUUGAAAUGUAGUGAAAACAACUAAGGAACUACACUGUUAAUUUUAAUUAAUUCCAAUAUACAUGUUUGUGGCUGAGUACUGCUAAUGUUGGCCAUGUGAGACAGGGAAGUUUUAGAUGGUAAUAAACAGCAAUGUCAUCAGGACAACCAAUCUGCUAAAUGUUAAGCAAAGAUGAUCCCAGGACCAUUGCACCAAGCUGGAGUGGACAAGGUGGAAAGAGCACAUACGUGGAUCUUUGGAACCCAGAUUCUUCUUCCUCCAGGUCGUAUGGUCACUUGGAGGCCUCCUUACCAAUCAGAUGCAUCCUCAGUACAACCCUAAGAUCUUCCCCGAUCAACAUAGAUGAGCAGCUUCAAUCUCCAGAUACUACAUACCAUUGGCUGAUUUUUAUAGUUGCCCAAUAAGAGGUCCUCCCAUGAGAUUUGGAAGUCAGAAAAGGAUGACUCAAUAUUCUCCAUUGGUACCUAAGGCAGACACAGGAACAGAGGAAAGCAACCAUCAGGCCUCCCAGAUACUAUCAAGGAGCUGAAACUUACAUAUCACUGAAUCAGGACAGUGAGACGUCAGACCCUUCACCCAUUGUGAUUGCCUAACUGACCUCCUGCUUCCUGUUGACCCAAUUAUCUUUCUUAACCCUCCCUAAUUCCUGUUUUCCCACAUUUCUUCCUUGUUAUAUAAACCCCGAAUUUCAGUUGGUCAGGGAGAUACAUUUGAGAACGGUGUCCCAUCUCCUCAGCUGCAGCACCUGAUUAAAGCCUGUUCCUUGGC